GGCGGCAGGCUUACACAUGCAAGUCGAACGGUAGCAGGAGAAAGCUUGCUUUCUUGCUGACGAGUGGCGGACGGGUGAGUAAUGCUUGGGAAUCUGGCUUAUGGAGGGGGAUAACUACUGGAAACGGUAGCUAAUACCGCGUAAUAUCGGAAGAUUAAAGGGUGGGACCGUAAGGCCACCUGCCAUAAGAUGAGCCCAAGUGGGAUUAGGUAGUUGGUGGGGUAAAGGCCUACCAAGCCGACGAUCUCUAGCUGGUCUGAGAGGAUGACCAGCCACACUGGAACUGAGACACGGUCCAGACUCCUACGGGAGGCAGCAGUGGGGAAUAUUGCACAAUGGGGGGAACCCUGAUGCAGCCAUGCCGCGUGAAUGAAGAAGGCCUUCGGGUUGUAAAGUUCUUUCGGUGAUGAGGAAGGUAUCAAAUUUAAUAGAUUUGGUAAUUGACGUUAGUCACAGAAGAAGCACCGGCUAACUCCGUGCCAGCAGCCGCGGUAAU
rnacentral:rRNA from 1 species